AGAGAGGCAGUUGGUUGGUGGGAGGGCAGUUAGACUCAGUUGCUUCCCACAGACUUGAGCUUUUUCACAACUUGUUGGAUCUCGAUAUAAAAGGAUCAGUCCUUCCGGAGAUAGUGACCAAACAUGGCAGACUAGACAGGGUUUCUCUGUGUAGCCCUGGCUGUCCCGGAAUUCACCAUGUAGACCAGGCUGGUGUUGAACUCAGAAAUCCUCUUGUCUCUGUCUCCCAAGUGCUGGGAUUAAUGCCUCAUAUAUUCCUGGUUCUAUAUGAGAGUAGGUGGUUGAACUUGAGCAAACAUCAUGGACAGCCACAUGGAAGAGAACAUCCUUGAAAAGGAUUUCAGGAUGUUGUUAUCUCUGGGUUGUGGUUCAUUCGGGGAGGUAAAGCUUGCCUGCCACCUUCCCACACGUAUACGGGUGGCUGUCAAGGUCCUUGAGAAAAACAUCAACAGCAUGGCUGACAUCACUUCGAAGGUGGAACUCCUUCAAUCUUUAGAACACAGGAACAUUGUUCGAUUUUUUCACAUGAUUGACACACUGACAACAACUUAUGUGAUCAUGGAGUAUGUGCCAGGAGAGGACCUUGAGAAGUACCUCAGGGCACUGGGCUGUCUAAAAGAGGAAGAGGCUAGACCUGUUUUCCAGCAGGUCGUGUCAGCAGUGUACUUCCUCCAACAAAGACACAUUGCACAUCGCAAUAUUAAAUUAGAAAACAUUCUGGUCGAUGCAGCAAGAAAUGCAAAGCUUUCAGACUUUGGCAUGGCAAUUAAAACCACAGAAGGGCAGAUGUUGGAGGAGACCUGUGACUCCUUACUCUAUAGGGCCCCAGAGAUCUUGGCAAGGAAACCCUAUGAUGGGCUGGCAGUUGACAUGUGGAGCUUGGGCAUCGUCCUCUAUGUUCUGGUCACAGGGCACUUUCCAUAUGUAGAAGCCACCAUUGAGUAUAUGCACAGGAUCAUCACUACUACAAUGUGUCAUUCCAUUCCUAAACACCUGUCAAUUCCGUGUCACAUUAUCAUUGCACGGUUACUCAUGGUCCCUACCUGGUACAGGAUGACAAUACAUCAGCUUGUGGAACAACCGUGGCUGGGCCACAUUCAAGAUCAUGGACUGGUAUCCACAAAAGAAAUCCUUCCCAGGAUCGUGAACACAAUGUGCACCAUUGGCUAUUCCUGUGAAGAGAUUGUGUCAUCCUUAACACAUAGGCGACUCAAAGAUGAAGUAAUGGCAACAUUUAAUAUUUUAAAAUACCAACUGAGCUAUGAGGACAGCCAUCAGCAGGUGGAGAAGCUCUGGGCAAAUAGCAGCCCUUCAGGUACCCUUAUCCCCCUUCCCCACUUGAAGAGGAGAGCCAGUGAACCUACCUUUUCAACCUGUAUAGAAGCUAGGAAGAGUCACUUUCAGGAUGAGAGUGUGGAAAGAAGAAGCAAGAGUUCCAGAAGUUACCCCACACUCACCAAAAGCUCCUGCACAGAGAUGAUGCCCAAUUCAGAUGACCCAGUGCCAGAAAGUGAUGCUCUGACAGCUGAUGUCACUAACAGUGCUACCGGGGAUAUUGUAGUCAACAGAGAUUCCACAGACAGCAUGCUUGGUGAGCAGGUCUCUUCAGUAUCAGCCCCUAUUGGCCCCACAGCUUCUAGAUCUAGGUCACCCACAGUUUGGAAGCAAAAUUCUCGUGCUCUGAAAGCACCAUGCUGCUGCUGCUGUUGCUGCUGUCUGCCCUCCCCAUGACUUCCAAGGACAUGAGUUAUGUGCUGAGCCUGGCCUGACACCCAAGGCUGUCAAGGAGGAUCCACAUUCUGGAGAUAAGACACAGAGUGCCCGCCACCUGGAGCCUGACUUUGGCCUUCAUAUCCCCAGAUGCCCACUUCUUUGUUCUUUGUUAAUUCCCCCUCAACCCCUCCCUAUUCCCCUCAAGGUAUGCUUAAAACCCAGCGUUUCAGCCUAAUAAACUGAGACCUUGAUAGGAACA